rnacentral:rRNA from 1 species
UGGGGAAUCUUGCGCAAUGGGCGAAAGCCUGACGCAGCGACGCCGCGUGAGUGAUGAAGGCCUUCGGGUUGUAAAGCUCUGUGGGGAGAGACGAAUAAGCUUUGGCUAAUAUCCAGGGUGAUGACGGUAUCUCCUUAGCAAGCACCGGCUAACUCUGUGCCAGCAGCCGCGGUAAGACAGAGGGUGCAAACGUUGUUCGGAAUUACUGGGCGUAAAGCGCAUGUAGGCGGCCUAGCAGGUCGGAUGUGAAAGCCCUCGGCUCAACCGAGGAAGUGCAUUCGAAACCGCAAGGCUUGAGUCCCGGAGAGGGUAGUGGAAUUCUCGGUGUAGAGGUGAAAUUCGUAGAUAUCAAGAGGAACACCGGAGGCGAAGGCGGGUAACUGGGCCAACAUUGACGCUGAGACCCGAAAGCGUGGGGAUCAAACA